rnacentral:rRNA from 1 species
UACGUAGGGGCCUAGCGUUGUCCGGAUUUAUUGGGCGUAAAGAGCUCGUAGGCGGACUGCCAAGUCCGGGGUGAAAUCCUCCGGCUUAACCGGAGAAUUGCCUGGGAUACUGGCGGUCUUGAGGGAGGUAGGGGCACGCGGAACUUCCGGUGGAGCGGUGAAAUGCGUUGAUAUCGGAAGGAACGCCGGUGGCGAAAGCGGCGUGCUGGCCCUCUUCUGACGCUGAGGCGCGAAAGCCAGGGGAGCGAACGGG